GACUGAGCACAGACCAGCACCAUGGAGCUGGGGCUGUGCUGGUUUCUCCUAGUUGCUCUGUUGAAAGGUGUGCAGUGUGAGGUGCAGCUGGUAGAGUCUGAGGGAAUCUUGGUGCAGCCUGGGGGGUCCUUGAGACUCUCCUGUGCAGCCUCCGAAUUCACCUUCUGUACUUACUGUAUGGGCUGGAGUCGCCAGGCUCCAGGGAAGGGACUGGAGUGGGUUGCACGAAUGGAUCCAGGGGGUGGUAGCACACGGUACCCAGACUCUGUGAAGGGCCGGUUCACCCUCUCCAGAGACAAUAGUCAAAGCACGCUGUACCUGCAAAUGAGCAGCCUGAGAACCGAGGACACGGCCCUGUAUCACUGUGCAGGGCACAGUGAGAGGAGCCAGUGGGGCCCAGACACACAGGUGCAGCAGCCUAGGCCAGCAGGCGCUGAGCCGCGUCAGCUGCAGGUGUGGUGAGGAGGCGGCCCUGGGGUCUGGCCUCCACCCUCCCAGGGCUCCAGGACCCCAGCUGGUGUCUGCCCUGCGCUGCUGCACGGACACAGAG